CCUACGGGAGGCAGCAGUGGGGAAUAUUGCACAAUGGGCGCAAGCCUGAUGCAGCCAUGCCGCGUGUGUGAAGAAGGCCUUCGGGUUGUAAAGCACUUUCAGCGGGGAGGAAGGCGUUAAGGUUAAUAACCUUGGCGAUUGACGUUACCCGCAGAAGAAGCACCGGCUAACUCCGUGCCAGCAGCCGCGGUAAUACGGAGGGUGCAAGCGUUAAUCGGAAUUACUGGGCGUAAAGCGCACGCAGGCGGUCUGUCAAGUCGGAUGUGAAAUCCCCGGGCUCAACCUGGGAACUGCAUUCGAAACUGGCAGGCUAGAGUCUUGUAGAGGGGGGUAGAAUUCCAGGUGUAGCGGUGAAAUGCGUAGAGAUCUGGAGGAAUACCGGUGGCGAAGGCGGCCCCCUGGACAAAGACUGACGCUCAGGUGCGAAAGCGUGGGGAGCAGACAGGAUUAGAUACCCGUGUAGUC
rnacentral:rRNA from 1 species